UACGUAGGGUGCAAGCGUUGUCCGGAAUUAUUGGGCGUAAAGGGCUCGUAGGCGGUCUGUCGCGUCGGUAGUGAAAACUCAGGGCUUAACCCUGAGCCUGCUUCCGAUACGGGCAGACUAGAGGUAUGCAGGGGAGAAUGGAAUUCCUGGUGUAGCGGUGAAAUGCGCAGAUAUCAGGAGGAACACCGGUGGCGAAGGCGGUCUCUGGGCAUUACCUGACGCUGAGGAGCGAAAGUGUGGGGAGCGAACAGG
rnacentral:rRNA from 1 species